AGUGGCGGACGGGUGAGUAACACGUGGGGAACCUAUCCAUCAGCGGGGGAUAACACUUGGAAACAGGUGCUAAUACCGCAUAUGGCUUUUUUUCACCUGAAAGAAAGCUCAAAGGCGCUUUACAGCGUCACUGAUGGCUGGUCCCGCGGUGCAUUAGCCAGUUGGUGAGGUAACGGCUCACCAAAGCAACGAUGCAUAGCCGACCUGAGAGGGUGAUCGGCCACACUGGGACUGAGACACGGCCCAGACUCCUACGGGAGGCAGCAGUAGGGAAUCUUCGGCAAUGGACGCAAGUCUGACCGAGCAACGCCGCGUGAGUGAAGAAGGUUUUCGGAUCGUAAAGCUCUGUUGUCAGCAAAGAACAGGAGAAAGAGGAAAUGCUUUUUCUAUGACGGUAGCUGACCAGAAAGCCACGGCUAACUACGUGCCAGCAGCCGCGGUAAUACGUAGGUGGCAAGCGUUGUCCGGAUUUAUUGGGCGUAAAGCGAGCGCAGGCGGUGAUUUAAGUCUGAUGUGAAAGCCCCCAGCUCAACUGGGGAGGGUCAUUGGAAACUGGAUCACUUGAGUGCAGAAGAGGAGAGUGGAAUUCCAUGUGUAGCGGUGAAAUGCGUAGAUAUAUGGAGGAACACCAGUGGCGAAGGCGGCUCUCUGGUCUGUAACUGACGCUGAGACUCGAAAGCGUGG
rnacentral:rRNA from 1 species